rnacentral:rRNA from 1 species
CCUACGGGAGGCUGCAGUGGGGAAUAUUGGACAAUGGGCGAAAGCCUGAUCCAGCCAUGCCGCGUGUGUGAAGAAGGCCUUCGGGUUGUAAAGCACUUUCAGUGGGGAAGAAAGCCUUGGGGCUAAUACCCUCGAGGAAGGACAUCACCCACAGAAGAAGCACCGGCUAACUCCGUGCCAGCAGCCGCGGUAAUACGGAGGGUGCGAGCGUUAAUCCGAAUUACUGGGCGUAAAGCGCGCGUAGGCGGUCUGAUAAGCCGGUUGUGAAAGCCCCGGGCUCAACCUGGGAACGGCAUCCGGAACUGUCAGGCUAGAGUGCAGGAGAGGAAGGUAGAAUUCCCGGUGUAGCGGUGAAAUGCGUAGAGAUCGGGAGGAAUACCAGUGGCGAAGGCGGCCUUCUGGACUGACACUGACGCUGAGGUGCGAAAGCGUGGGUAGCAAACAGGAUUAGAUACCCGGGUAGUC